GCUGCGUACUGGACCGAUUGACGCUCAGAAGGGAGCAGCUGCCUCUCUCUCUCUCAACAACCGGGUGGGUAGGUUGGUUCCUCACUUGCGGUUGUCAGGUGAGUUCUUCUCGCUAAACUGGAUUCUCCUCUCACAGUUGCAGGUGUGGCAUUGAGAGAAAAACACUCUUUCCCUGACCCUGGAUUGGAACGCUAACCUUGUCUUCAAUUGCUUUGAACUUUUUCAAAGAAAUGUGUUCCUUUUGUGGACAAAAAUAUAUAUAUUUUGAGACAUUUUUGUAUGACGACUGAUGAUUUACAUUUUUUUAAAUUGUAGCGACAAUUUAGAUAUAGGAUGCACGUGGCCACAAUAUACAAUAUAGACAUAACACGUAAAGCUAAUUUGUGGCUUUACUAUAAUUUACAACAAUGGUGCGCUCCAUUUGCUUACCUGACUGCCCAGGAUGAUAUAGACACCUUUUAUUUGUAAUUUGUGCAAACAUAUCUAUAUUGUGGCCAUUUUAUUUCCGCCGAAUCAUGUCUGGGGUUGCAAUCCCCGUUCCUUCCCUAUUCGUAAAGUAUCCCUUCCUGUGAGACAUUUUUGGAUCGCGUGCUAACAGUCGGCAACCAAAAGUGUCGCACGCAUUCUCAGCCAGGAUGAUAAUACGUAAUCGGCAGCAGUCAACACGACCAGUCCUAGGCGUAGCCCCACCCCUGGCCCCAAAUUCAGCUGGGAUAGGAAAUGAGGCCUGGCACUAUGAAAACGCUUGGAUGGAUGCUGGAUGCUUCCAGUGACCACAUGUAACAAGUGUAAGACUUCAUGACGGCUUUAUUGAUGGAAAAUCAUAGCGACUACACACAAUACA